rnacentral:rRNA from 1 species
UACGAAGGGUGCAAGCGUUACUCGGAAUUACUGGGCGUAAAGCGUGCGUAGGUGGUUUGUUAAGUCUGAUGUGAAAGCCCUGGGCUCAACCUGGGAACGGCAUUGGAAACUGGCUUACUAGAGUGCGGUAGAGGGGCGUGGAAUUCCCGGUGUAGCAGUGAAAUGCGUAGAUAUCGGGAGGAACAUCUGUGGCGAAGGCGACACCCUGGACCAGCACUGACACUGAGGCACGAAAGCGUGGGGAGCAAACAGG